CCUACGGGAGGCAGCAGUGGGGGAUAUUGCACAAUGGGGAAACCCUGAUGCAGCGACGCCGCGUGUGGGAAGACGGUCCUCUGGAUUGUAAACCACUGUCCCCAGGGACGAAGAUGCCGGUACCUGGGGAGGAAGCUCCGGCUAACUACGUGCCAGCAGCCGCGGUAAUACGUGGGGAGCAAGCGUUGUCCGGAAUUACGGGGUGAAAAGGGAGCGUAGGCGGGUUGGCAAGUUGGGUGUUAAAUCUACCGGCUCAACUGGUAGUCGCACUCAAAACUGCUAUUCUUGAGUGAAGGAGAGGCAGGCGGAAUUCCUAGUGUAGCGGUGAAAUGCGUAGAUAUUAGGAGGAACACCAGUGGCGAAGGCGGCCUGCUGGGCUUUUACUGACGCUGAGGCUCGAAAGUGUGGGGAGCAAACAGGAUUAGAUACCCUAGUAGUC
rnacentral:rRNA from 1 species